rnacentral:lncRNA from 1 species
AAGUACAAUCCUCGAAUUUCGAGAAUUCACUUCCUUACAUCCUCCCCUCCUUAAAAAGAGUUUCGUCCUCGAAACUAACUCAUUUCUUCACUUUAAUUUAAAUUCAUACCUUAUUCCUCAAAUAGAUGAGGAUGGUGCUUUCUCAUCAGAUCCUCGAGUUCCCAGGUGGCUUCGCGAUCCUCGUGAUUGCUCCACCUGACCUUCACAUAAGGAAUUUCUCGAUUUCUCAAUUUUCGCACCUCU